ACUCAAAGGAAUUGACGGGGACCCGCACAAGCGGUGGAGCAUGUGGUUUAAUUCGAUGCAACGCGAAGAACCUUACCUGGCCUUGACAUCCUGGGAACCCUGCAGAGAUGCGGGGGUGCCUUCGGGAACCCAGAGACAGGUGCUGCAUGGCUGUCGUCAGCUCGUGUCGUGAGAUGUUGGGUUAAGUCCCGCAACGAGCGCAACCCUUGUCCUUAGUUGCCAGCAUUUGGUUGGGAACUCUAAGGAGACCGCCGGUGACAAACCGGAGGAAGGUGGGGAUGACGUCAAGUCAUCAUGGCCUUUAUGGCCAGGGCUACACACGUGCUACAAUGGUAGAUACAGAGGGAAGCCAACGCGCAAGCGGGAGCCAAUCCCAGAAAAUCUAUCGUAGUCCGGAUCGGAGUCUGCAACUCGACUCCGUGAAGUCGGAAUCGCUAGUAAUCGCAGAUCAGCAUUGCUGCGGUGAAUACGUUCCCGGGUCUUGUACACACCGCCCGU
rnacentral:rRNA from 1 species